UCUUCAAGAGUUUGGAGAUUCUCACCUAUUUAUGGGUACAUAUUUACACAGUUAACCUAGUAUAAUCUGUUGUAACAGUCUGUCAGAUGAAACAGAUUCCCCCUCGAGACAGUUCAGGACUGCCUGAUGAAGGUCUCCGUGCCGCCCUUCACGCUCCAAACAUUCAUAUUCUGUUUUGACUAUCAUUCACACUCUCACAAGCAUUCUGCAUAUUACAGUAAGUCUGACGUUAGACACCAAACAGCAAUCUCUUUAAUUACAGUGAUUGAAUCCCAAAAGAUUCUCUUUUCUCUAUAUAAGUGCACUACAUCGAAUAUGACAACGUUUUCCUGAACAUAUAUAAGGCAUUGUAUUUCCAAAAGAUUGUCAUCUCAAGUUCAGCCCAUGUACAUGUACUAACAACAGGAAGUUGCAGUCUAUUUUGACAUUGUUUACUAUGAGUGUAGGCAGUUUGGAAUAUACAGCAAGCCUUGUCCACUACCCUACACCUCUCUUAUUAGCUGGCUUCAAAUGCAGACCAUCCACACACACGUUCAUUAAUGUAUUACGGAGAAACAUGACAGAGAGGCAUGUUGUUCAGACUUGGAGGAAACGUCAAGGGCAAAUAUGGCCAACGACCUGUAAGACGCGCCCUCUAAACACCUAGGUCACCACUUAUCUUCUUUAGAGUGUACUUUAAAAGCCGAGCGAAGUCGAAAGGACAAAAUCAAUAGUAUGUCGUCGUCGCGUACAGGCUUUAUCCUGAGUGUAGUGUGGAGCACAGCUGCAUGAUUGUAUUGCCAAACACCGCGCAUGUCACAGAUCACAGAGCAGGAAGAACAUGGAGGCUGAACAUGGAGGCAAUCCAAACACGAGCUAAACGUCAUUUUAUUUGGGCCACGUUUAUAUAAAAGUCUCCACACGAGACGUCAGGUGUGUUUUGUCUUGCUGUAGAUAAUUAUUCCUGUAAAGCAAAUGUCUUCAUUCGAGGCAGUGCCCGUGGCUUUAGAACUGAGACGUACAUACACCCUAUUACUAUUAAUAGGAGGCAAAGAAGGAAUGUCGCUAGUGUAAAGGAAGAUAAGCUUUAACAUACCUUCCAAUCGAGACGUGCAGGAACUUCUGUCCAAAUCGGACUUGACUUUCAAUUCGUGACUUUUCUUGUCUUCCGCAACUGGAAGUUAAAACCCCACCUACAGCGCUACCGCGUUCUCAUUGGAGCUCACUGAUACACGCUCACUGGACACUUUAUUAGGAACAGUACUGGGUACCUCAUAAUGGAGCUCACAAAAGAGAUAAGGCACAACAACAGGUGCUGGCUCAAAUUUAGCCUAUUACCUGAAGACACUUAAACAUAGAAGCAAAUACUCACAUCUGCAAACCCAGUUGGAGAUAGAAAAAUAAGACACCAGCCGCUUUCCUUGCGAGACGAGAAUCUUCACCAUCUGAAUCAUGAGUGCCGGUGCCCGUCGUCAGUCCCUUCUCUCUCCGUUACUGGACCUGGAUCUGGAUCUGGACCUCCCUUAUGUUUAUUUUAUGACAUUUUUUAUCCACAACACUAUUAUCUCGCGGUUAGGGCAACUUGACUCAGCUACCCUUAUAAUUGGCUCUUCAUGGUUCUCUCUUAAAAUUAAGGCCCUCGUCUACACCACGCCUGACCCUUCCUUGGGAGACAAGAAUCUUCACCAUCUGAAUUAUGAGUGCCCGUCAUUUUUCCUUCUUUCCUUUAUUGGAGGGGCUGGAUUUGGAUCUGAACACUCUAUCAGAUUGCGCGUCUCACAGCUGACAUCGCUGUGUUACUUGACGUUCUUCACACUCCCUCUGGAAAUGGAAAUGCGGGGUUCCCCCCACCUCUCAGAUACAGAAUCCGCCCCGUGAAUGUGUGUAUUGACGCCUCUACACAGACAGACCCUCUGCCUGACCUUCCCUCCAGCUUUCAGUCUGAGGAUGAUAUCGCCUUCUCUGAUCUGGGCUCUGACCAUUCUUCCCUCUUCUCACCGGUCAGUCCGCCGUACUCUCAGUAUUCUCCUUAUUUCACCCUUGCUGUCCCAUGUUGUUAUCCCAUGUCCCCAGGACGCACCCCCUUUUAUCACCCGUUUUCUCCCUACCGCUCCCCUCAGGAUUAUACCCCCACCAGUCCUGUGAAUUUUCAAUAAAAUUACAUGGUGUUCAUAC
ensembl:lncRNA